rnacentral:rRNA from 1 species
AGUAGGAUAGGCGAAGCGUACGAUUGGAUUGUACGUCUAAGCAGUGAGAUUGAGUGUUAGGCAAAUCCGGCACUCUUAAGAUUGAGCUGUGAUGGGGAGAGGAAAUUGUUUCCUCGAGUCGUUGAUUUCACACUGCCGAGAAAAGCUUCUAGAUAGAGAUUAGGUGCCCGUACCGCAAACCGACACAGGUAGUCAAGAUGAGAAUUCUAAGGUGAGCGAGCGAACUCUCGUUAAGGAACUCGGCAAAAUGACCCCGUAACUUCGGGAGAAGGGGUGCUCUUUAGGGUGCAAGC